rnacentral:rRNA from 1 species
UACGUAGGGUGCAAGCGUUGUCCGGAAUUAUUGGGCGUAAAGAGUUCGUAGGCGGUUUGUCGCGUCCGUUGUGAAAGCUUGGGGCUCAACCCCAAGUCUGCAGUGGAUACGGGCAGACUAGAGUCAGGUAGGGGAGAACGGAAUUCCGUGGUGUAGCGGUGAAAUGCGUAGAGAUCCGGAGGAACCCCAGAGGCGAAGGCGGCGC